rnacentral:misc_RNA from 1 species
UCAAAAGUCAAGUCGGGGGCUGCAAAGCCUUCGUCUACACCCAUGUCUUUUUGCGUACUUCUUGUUUCCCUCGGUGGCGCAAGCCGCCGAUUGGACAAAACCAAAACCUUUUUUGUAAUUGCAAUCAGCGUCUGAAAAUAAUCUAAUUAUUUA